CAGCCGCCGCGGUAAAACGGAGGGUGCAAGCGUUAAUCGGAAUUACUGGGCGUAAAGCGUGCGUAGGUGGUGGUUUAAGUCCGUUGUGAAAGCCCUGGGCUCAACCUGGGAAUUGCAGUGGAUACUGGGUCACUAGAGUGUGGUAGAGGAUAGUGGAAUUUCCGGUGUAGCGGUGAAAUGCGUAGAGAUCUGGAGGAAUACCGGUGGCGAAGGCGGCCCCCUGGACAAAGACUGACGCUCAGGUGCGAAAGCGUGGGGAGCAAACAGGAUUAGAUACCCCCGUAGUCCCUGUCUCUUAUAA
rnacentral:rRNA from 1 species